rnacentral:rRNA from 1 species
GACGAACGCUGGCGGCGUGCUUAACACAUGCAAGUCGAGCGGAAAGGCCCUUCGGGGUACUCGAGCGGCGAACGGGUGAGUAACACGUGAGUAACCUGCCCCAGACUUUGGGAUAACCCUCGGAAACGGGGGCUAAUACCGGAUACGACACAGCUUCGCAUGGUGUCUGUGUGGAAAGUUUUUCGGUUUGGGAUGGGCUCGCGGCCUAUCAGCUUGUUGGUGGGGUGAUGGCCUACCAAGGCGACGACGGGUAGCCGGCCUGAGAGGGCGACCGGCCACACUGGGACUGAGACACGGCCCAGACUCCUACGGGAGGCAGCAGUGGGGAAUAUUGCACAAUGGGCGGAAGCCUGAUGCAGCGACGCCGCGUGAGGGAUGACGGCCUUCGGGUUGUAAACCUCUUUCAGCAGGGACGAAGCGUAAGUGACGGUACCUGCAGAAGAAGCGCCGGCCAACUACGUG